rnacentral:rRNA from 1 species
UACGAAGGGAGCUAGCGUUGUUCGGAAUCACUGGGCGUAAAGCGCACGUAGGCGGAUUUGUAAGUCAGGGGUGAAAUCCCGGGGCUCAACCUCGGAACUGCCUUUGAUACUGCAAAUCUCGAGUCCGAUAGAGGUGGGUGGAAUUCCUAGUGUAGAGGUGAAAUUCGUAGAUAUUAGAAGGAACACCGGUGGCGAAGGCGGCCCACUGGAUCGGUACUGACGCUGAGGUGCGAAAGCGUGGGGAGCAAACAGG